rnacentral:lncRNA from 1 species
UUUCAUUUUACUUCCAAUUCACACACUAUACUUUUGCUUCUAUUAUAUGUUGGGUUUUGAUGGAGAAAUAGCCCAUUAUCAUUUUAUGUAUAAUCUUAAUUAGUUUUUUAACAUAUAGUACAUCCUUUAUAAUGCAAAACCUAUAAAGACCAUUUUAUUUUGCUUAAAAUCGCCACUUCAUACUGUCAUCAUUUGAUUUUAAUUUCUAUACCUAUUAACUCCAUAAGAGAUUAUUAUUAACAUUGCUUAAAUUAUAUUUAUUUUCAUUUACUCACACAAUUAUCUGUUCCUUUGGAUUCAUUCCUCCUUUCUUUUCUAUGCUUUUCUUUGGGAUCAUCAUUCCUGUAAUGAACUUUAUUGCAUUUUCUUUUUUGAAGGAGAUGUUUUGUGGAUAAGGAAUUCAAGGUUGGCACCAAUGAGGACUCUUCAAAAUGUUUGUGGAAAAUUGAAUGAAAAGAUGUUCUUUUUGAUGCAAAAAAGUGAAACCAAUAUAUGUUCCAAAUGUAAUAACUAUUAACAUAAAGGAGCAGUAUAUGUGUUUGUUAUACUCUUUCCUAACAUACUACUGAUGUUGCCAUAAAAAAUAUAAUACUGAAUAAAAUCAUCUGAAGAUGUCUUUGUUUUUUUUUU